rnacentral:rRNA from 1 species
GUCCUAGCCGUAAACGAUGGACACUAGGUGUUGGUGGUAUCAACCCCGCCAGUGCCGAAGCUAACGCAUUAAGUGUCCCGCCUGGGGAGUACGGCCGCAAGGCUAAAACUCAAAGGAAUUGACGGGGGCCCGCACAAGCAGCGGAGCGUGGGGUUUAAUUCGACGCAACGCGAAGAACCUUACCAGGGCUUGACAUGACCAGGACCGCGGCGGAAACGUCGCUUCCCCGCAAGGGGCCUGGCCACAGGUGUUGCAUGGCUGUCGU